UACGAAGGGGGCUAGCGUUGCUCGGAAUUACUGGGCGUAAAGGGCGCGUAGGCGGAUAUUUAAGUUGGGGGUGAAAUCCCGGGGCUCAACCUCGGAAUUGCCUUCAAAACUGGAUAUCUUGAGUUCGGGAGAGGUGAGUGGAACUCCGAGUGUAGAGGUGAAAUUCGUAGAUAUUCGGAAGAACACCAGUGGCGAAGGCGACUCACUGGCCCGAUACUGACGCUGAGGUGCGAAAGCGUGGGGAGCAAACAGG
rnacentral:rRNA from 1 species